rnacentral:lncRNA from 1 species
UAAGCCCUUUAUUACCACCAUGCUUAAACUACCAAUGCUUCCUUAUAAAGAAAUCUUGUCUCAAUUACAAGGCUAUGAGACUUGGGUUAAGCUUUAUUAUCUAUCUAGUCUUCAGCAAACCAUGGCCUUUUAUAGCCAAGAAAAAAAAAAAAUCUUAAUAUAAUAAUCCAAAGAGGGGAAAGCAAAAAAAUUUUUCGGGAAGCAAUCAAUUUACAUCUAAAUAGGGACUUUGUGUGAGAAGUAAUAAGGUAUGGCUAGGGA